GAGAUAAAUAGGUUACUAAAAAUUUGCUAAAUUUUUUUGUUCAGGUUUCAAUACUUGGUUAUCUUG
rnacentral:tRNA from 1 species